rnacentral:lncRNA from 1 species
UACAUUCUCUCAUUCAAUCUCUUUCUCUUUUAUUCUUCAAUUUCUCAUUCUAAACCAUAAUAACAUUAUCCUAAAUUUAAUACCUUCAACUUCGUGAAUAUCAACCAUGUCACUAGGUUGAAUAUCAAACAACCCAAAAAAAUUCAUGAGUGUAAUGAACAAACACACGUGAACAUCAACCAAAGCAGAAAAAAUAAAAUAAUAAUCACCCUUAAACAUCAAACAACAUAAAUCUUUUCACCCAUAUUACAAACUUCUGAAAAAUUGGGGUGGUUGGAUGAAAUCGGAUUCUUCUAAAAUCAAAGCAGUUUUUUCAAUUUCAAAAUUCAUCAUCUUUCUUCGAUAAACCAGUUUUCUUUUGUUUGCGUCGCGAUAAAAAAAAAAUAAGUUGAGAAAUUGUAGCCUUGCUUGCCUUGAAUCACGAUCCAGAAAACUUGUGUUUUUAAGAUUUGAAAAUUUUCAGAGGGCUACUAAGAGAUUUAAUUGGAUUGUAAACAACCCGUUUUCCAUGUACGAUAUGAACCUUUUUUCUUCGACCCGUGAUUUCUCUUAAUUGAAUUGAUGAUUUGCAAAUUUUCAUGCAGAUUCUUUGUAUUUUCUGAUCUCAAACAAAACCCAUCAAAAAUUGAUGUGCCGUGUCGUGUACGGUGCAAGAUUGAAUCGCGUCUUUUGCAGGUCAGCGCGACCCAAUUGCAGCAAUUCGGGUGAAGAAGAUGACGACGGGGAGAUGCCUAGUCUACGGACGUGGGGUGCCUGAGACCUUCUAAAUUUCAAUUUUUUUACCAAAUAAUUAUUAUGAAAUGUUCUGAUUAAUUUGGGACAACUACAGAU